CUCUCUCUCUCUCUCUCUCUCUCUCUCUCUCUCUCUCUCUCUCUCUCUCUCUCUCUCUUCCGUAGCCUUCCUCCUCUUCGCUCAUCACACCCUCUGUCUCCCGUAGGCUUCCUCAUUUUCGCUCAUCACGCUCGAACCCCAAAUCUUGAACCCCAAAUUGCCCCAAUCUCGAACCACACUAUCGAUUGUCUCUCUCCCUCUCGUUCUAAACGACGGGCAGCCACCACCCCCUUCGUCGUGCUCGUCUCUCUCCUUGAAAGGCAUGGGAUGGAUUUCAAGGUUUAAAAGAUGUUCUCUGGCUCCCAAUUCGAUGCCACGAACGCCUUCUCCGGCGGCGGUUUCAUGGCUUCUCAGUCCACUCAAUUCGGCGAUUCCACUCCCUCUCCGGCCAAGAGUUCCAUGCAGAUCUGGCAUGUGUACCACACCGUUGCAUGUCACAUCUUCUCAGCUGAUUGCUAGUGAAAUCUUUCCUGUUACUGCAGUCAAGGCCCUCCUCUACCCCGGAAUUGGGUUUUUUUUUUUU